CUUGCUACUCUGCUGACGAGCGGCGGACGGGUGAGUAAUGCUUGGGAAUAUGCCUUAUGGUGGGGGACAACAGUUGGAAACGACUGCUAAUACCGCAUGAUGUCUACGGACCAAAGUGGGGGACCUUCGGGCCUCACGCCAUAAGAUUAGCCCAAGUGGGAUUAGCUAGUUGGUGAGGUAAUGGCUCACCAAGGCGACGAUCCCUAGCUGGUUUGAGAGGAUGAUCAGCCACACUGGGACUGAGACACGGCCCAGACUCCUACGGGAGGCAGCAGUGGGGAAUAUUGCACAAUGGGCGCAAGCCUGAUGCAGCCAUGCCGCGUGUGUGAAGAAGGCCUUCGGGUUGUAAAGCACUUUCAGUAAGGAGGAAAGGUUAAGUG
rnacentral:rRNA from 1 species